AACGCAAAUUGCGCUUCCUGGUAUUCCGGGAAGUAUGCCUGUUUGAGGGUCAGUUUAAAUUAACAUCGGGGUGUUGCUUUUUGGGGUGACUCUUCGGAAUUGGGAUUAUCUUGAUUUCUGGAUCAAGUGACCCGAAAUUAACACGUUUCUUUGCAUCUCGGACGUACAUAAGAAAAUUUUUUUCAUCCGUCAGGGUUUGCCAGGCUUUAUUAGGUAUGACCAUGUUGUUUGUGGCAUCCGUACUUAUAACAUAACUCAUAUUUUGACCUCAAAUCAGGUAGGAAUACCCGCUGAACUUAA
rnacentral:misc_RNA from 1 species